ACCGAUGAAAAUGACUUUCAGGUCAAGUUGCGCAAUGUGGUGCGCUUCCUGGAAGAAGGUGACAAGGUCAAGCUCACGCUGCGCUUCCGCGGCCGUGAGAUGGCUCACCAGGAAAUCGGUAUGGCUCAACUCAAACGUGUUGAGACCGAGCUCGGUGAAUUGGCUGUGGUCGAGCAGUUCCCCAAGCUUGAAGGUCGUCAGAUGGUCAUGAUGCUGGCCCCGAAGAAAAAAGCUUGAGUUGAAUACAAGGUGGCGACAAGCCUUGGGUUGGUGUGAACCGAUCCGCUCUUGUCGUAAAUAACGUGGCGCUGGGCAUUAAGUGUGGAGCAA
rnacentral:misc_RNA from 1 species